rnacentral:rRNA from 1 species
UCAGGAUGAACGCUGGCGGCGUGCUUAACACAUGCAAGUCGAACGGAGUAUGUUAACCGAGACCUUCGGGUCUCACCUGAUAUACUUAGUGGCGGACGGGUGAGUAACGCGUGAGCAACCAACCUUAUGCAGAGGGAUAACAAUUAGAAAUGAUUGCUAAUACCUCAUAAGACCACGCUAUCGCAUGGUAAAGUGGGAAAAAACUCCGGUGGCAUAAGACGGGCUCGCGUUCGAUUAGCUAGAUGGUGGGGUAACGGCCUACCAUGGCGACGAUCGAUAGCCGGACUGAGAGGUCGACCGGCCACAUUGGGACUGAGACACGGCCCAGACUCCUACGGGAGGCAGCAGUGGGGAAUAUUGCACAAUGGGGGAAACCCUGAUGCAGCGACGCCGCGUGAGUGAAGAAGUAUUUCGGUAUGUAAAGCUCUUUUAGCAGGGAAGAUGAUGACGGUACCUGCAGAAAAAGCCCCGGCUAAAUACGUGCCAGCAGCCGC